GGACAAGACCCACACCGAACAAAGCCUUAAGCAGACAACCAAGUCUGCGUGACAACAUGUUUUUGAGGUGGUUUAAUUGAAGGGGCAAUGAAGGAUAAUUUUUAAUUGAUGAUCCAUGGGUUCAAGUCUUUUAUCUUGAUCAAUGAAGAAAUCCGUUCGGACAAGUCGAUUAACUAGGCCGAGGGACUCUUCUAAAAUGACUCCCAUUUUAGAACAGAGAGGAGGUGGUUAUAGAGCAGCCUACACUGAUUGGAUGAAGAGGCUCAGAACAACAGAAUCAGGGAGGAAGUGAAUGCAUGACCCCAAUUCCUUUCAUCUCAGAUGCAAAUGUUCACGGUACAUCCUUAUUUACAUUACAGUGCAUGUGCUCAGCCCAGCCCCCAAGUGGCUCUUUCAUUUUGCUGUAAGACAGAACACGUUGAUGUUUUCAGUGUCCCAAUCCUCGGAUUAAGGAUAGACUCUUCAUUCUGUUAACAGAGGGAAGCAUAAAAGGCCGGAUCAAAUGUGCUGUCGUUAUCAAAACUACUAACUGAUCCAGUAUGGAGAGCCGUUCACAUUGUGGGUUUUACUAAUGCAUUAUUGUCAUAAAAUGCUGAUUUCUAUGCGUCAUCUUAACGUUAGUAUAUGAUGCUACGUGCGCUUAACGAAUGCUAAAACGGCUGCAUGUAAUAAUAAUAAAUUACAUACUCCGACAUCAAUUAUAAUAUCACAUACAUAAUACAUGGAUUAAUGUACCCCCUACUGUACCUUAUAUGGCUCUCACAAAUCACUAUGAUAUACCAUGACCAUCUUUCCUAUAUAGGCCAAAGAAGUUGAAGAUGACGUGAUCUGCCCAUUAUAUACAGUGGGGGGUAUAUUAUGUUUUUGCCACUGUAUUCUAUUAUUUUAUGCAAUAUAGUGACAUCAUUAUUAUAAAGCUGUCAUUCUAGAUUUGGGGAAAAAUAUAGUUGUUAUUUCUAUACAUGAAGUCUAUGAGUAGCUAGUAUUUCAAUUCACUUCUGGUUAUGAGUUAAUACGGUGUGUUCACAUUUAUCCUUUUUAUAUAUACAUUAUUAGUAUACAAUGAUGUCCUACAAAUUUAUAGAUGAUAUUAGAGCAGGCUUAGCAGCUAUAUAGCAGCACACAGUAUAGUCAGCUAAUCCUAGCCUAGAAGCAGAAGGAGAACGUUGAAUAUAUUCCUUGCUAAUUCCUUUCUGCAUAUCACUUAUAGUGGCAUUACAGAUGCAGAGUGUCAUACGUACAGAUCUAGAGCGCACACUCUGCCGCUCUCUUGCUCUCUUUCACACGCUCUUAAUGAACCAUUCAUUUUUUUAAUUGCAGAAUACAUAUGGAUACUUGAAAGCUUUCCCAAGGUUUUUUUUAUUUCCAUUCAGCAUAUCAUACUGUGCUCAUGAAUAUACAUUAAGAAAAUCAGGAACAGGUGUUUCCAGGGUCCUGUUCCGUGGGAAGCAACACGAAAAUGCAAAGCAUCUUCUGGAAGAGAUAAGAAGGGGUCAACCUUUCUCGUAUCUGCGGACAGGUGUCACACACACCAUCAUUAAAAUUCAGUGAAAAAAAAAAAAGUAGUCCUCUUCUUGUAGUCACAUCCUUGUUACUACUGGAGGCUAAGGAACUAGGCUUUCUUCCACUGUUACAUAAAGAGGUGUUAUAAUGAUGAUAAUUAUCAUAGGUUUUAAUGAAAUUGCUCGCUAAA